rnacentral:rRNA from 1 species
UACGAAGGGGGCUAGCGUUGCUCGGAAUCACUGGGCGUAAAGCGCACGUAGGCGGAUUGCUAAGUCAGGGGUGAAAUCCUGGAGCUCAACUCCAGAACUGCCUUUGAUACUGGCAACCUUGAGUCCGGGAGAGGUGAGUGGAACUGCGAGUGUAGAGGUGAAAUUCGUAGAUAUUCGCAAGAACACCAGUGGCGAAGGCGGCUCACUGGCCCGGUACUGACGCUGAGGUGCGAAAGAGUGGGGAGCAAACAGG